rnacentral:sRNA from 1 species
GCUGGGUAUGGUGGCGCACACCUGUAAUUCCAGCAGCUCGGGAGGCUGAGGCAGGAGGAUCACAAGUUCAAAGCCAGCCUCAGCAACUUAGUGAGGCCCUAAGCAACUCAGCAAGACCUUGUCUCUA